rnacentral:misc_RNA from 1 species
AUAGAAUAUGACUGUAGCGAAGCCCGCUUCGCGGCCCAACGUGCCGCAUUUUUCCUCCGGCCCCUGCGCCAAGCGCCCCGGCUGGAACCCCCAAAAUCUCAAGGACGCAGCCCUCGGCCGUUCGCAUCGUGCGAAGGUCGGCAAGGCCAAACUCAAGCUCGCGAUCGAACUGACGCGCGAAGUGCUUGAAGUGCCUGCCGAUUACAAGAUCGGCAUCGUGCCUGCGUCCGACACCGGCGCCGUUGAGAUGGCGCUGUGGUCGCUGCUCGGGCCGCGCCC